AUCCAAACUACCAACAGAUUCACUGUAUACACAGAAAAUCUCGUGCACAUGAAAGGUCUGUUUCGUUGCACGUAUUCACAAUUAUAUUACACUUGCAAAUGCAUACUAUCUCAAUUUCUGUGUUUGGUUUAGCGCACUUGAGUCCAACUAAGGCAGUUGCAAUUGCACAAAAAGAUUCAAAUGUUGUAGUUGGAACUAUAUUCAAAUUGACUGUAGUUCCAACUUCAGCAGCUGGUGAGAAAUAGGAUCACCCACAAAUUAACAAUAAUAAAUAAAUAAAUAAAUAGCUAAAUAAAUAAAUAAUUAAUAUAUAUAUUUGUAAAUAAAAAUACUUGUAAAUAAAUUCAUACUAAUAAAGAUUUUAGGCAAUACAAGGUUCGUGUAAAAAAUUAAAGUUUUUAAAAAUUAUUUUUAUUUAAAAUAUAAAAAGUAGUUUUUUUUUUCCAAAUUUCAUAGAAUGUGAUUGUGUAUGUUAACUUAAUAAGUUUUAAUUAAUUAUAAUUAUUAAAUUUGAUAUAAAAAAAGAGAGAGAAUCAUUUAAAUUUUUAAAGUUUGAUUUAUAUAUUAAAAUUAAAUAUAUUGAAAAUUUUAAAUCUGUCCGAUUGAUAAGUUGAAGAAUUAUUGAAAAAUAUAAAAAUAUUACAUAUAUCCUCUUAUUUAUUUAUAAACAGUAAGUUUAAAUUGGUUAAGAAAAUUAUACAAUUAUUUUAUGUAUAGUGAAGGUAAUCUCACCACUCUAUCUGGAGAGAUAACGAGAUUCACAAAUACAAUUAUCAACUUCACAUUAUCAAAUAGAAGAAAUGCAACUGCAAUAGUUGCAUCUAUACAAAACCAAACAAACUAUGUAUAAUUACAACUGUUGUAAUUUCAUUUGCAUGCAUUUUUAAAUACAACUACAUCCAACCAAACAGCUCCGAAGUGUCUACACCAGCAUAAAUAUAAAGAUGCUACUACAGCU
rnacentral:lncRNA from 1 species